CAAAUGAAGGCCAACUAUUUUACAGCUUUGAAGGUAUGCUUCCCGUGAUGAGAAAUAAUUCUAUCGGUGCCCAUACCCAGCUGGGGAUGGCCUCUUAUUAGCUCCACCAAGUGGUGGAGGCCUAGGCCCCCUAUUUCCAUUACUAGGUGGUGCUGGUUGGUGAAACCCACCAGCUCCACCAGGUGGUGGCUGCAUUGGCCGUCUACUUUGCCCACCAUGAGGCAAAUGGUGUGGUGGCGUCCUACUAGGCCCACCAGCACCAGACGGAGGCACCCUACUUGGCCCAACAGCACCAGACGGAGGCACCCUACUUCCUC
rnacentral:lncRNA from 1 species